ACACCCAGGACUGUUCUGACAGGAGCUUCUGCAGAGCUGUUUGGAUCAAAGUGCCCACCUUUGCAUAGGAUUCAUGAUAAUCUGCCUUCUUCUGACAUGGUCUAUAAUAGCUGAAGGGAGUAUGGGACUAUGCAAAGAAGACAGAGCCAGGCUCUUUUCAGUGGUGCCCAACUCUGGGACAGGAGGAAAUGGGCUCAAACUGGAAGACAGGAUGUUCCCUUUGAACAUCAGGAAGCACUUCUCUGCUGUGAAGUCCACGAUUAAAAUAGAAGAGCUGUGAAGCUGCAGGGAAGAUACUGAUGGACAGCUCUGCAAAUUGUUCCAGUUGAACCAUAAAACUGUCAAAAAAAUGAUACAUGUUACUUGUGAUGGCCCUAUGCCUCCCAGAAAUAAAGUGGAUUCCUAAUGGAA